GACGAACGCUGGCGGCGUGCUUAACACAUGCAAGUCGAACGGUAAGGCCCUUCGGGGUACACGAGUGGCGAACGGGUGAGUAACACGUGGGUGAUCUGCCCUGCACUUCGGGAUAAGCCUGGGAAACUGGGUCUAAUACCGGAUAGGACCACUGCCUGCAUGGGUGGUGGUGGAAAGCUUUUGCGGUGUGGGAUGGGCCCGCGGCCUAUCAGCUUGUUGGUGGGGUGAUGGCCUACCAAGGCGACGACGGGUAGCCGGCCUGAGAGGGCGACCGGCCACACUGGGACUGAGACACGGCCCAGACUCCUACGGGAGGCAGCAGUGGGGAAUAUUGCGCAAUGGGCGGAAGCCUGACGCAGCAACGCCGCGUGAGGGAUGACGGCCUUCGGGUUGUAAACCUCUUUCAGCAGGGAAGAAGCGAAAGUGACGGUACCUGCAGAAGAAGCACCGGCUAACUACGUGCCAGCAGCCGCCGCGG
rnacentral:rRNA from 1 species